GAGGGUAUAACUCAGUGGUAGAGCGCAUGCCUGGCACGCAUGAGGUCCUGGGUUCAAUCCCCAAUACCUCCA
rfam:Camelus ferus unplaced genomic scaffold scaffold301, whole genome shotgun sequence.